UCUGAAUGGGACACCUUAGCAAUCACCCAUAAACUUUGUUGUGAUGUUCCUACAAAUUUGUUCCAUACGUGUUGUUUUGUUCUUCAAGUGCCUGGUGGAUGAUAAGGUCAGUGGCUACCCCUUCUAAUUCUUCUCCUUGUCCUCAGGGCUUCCCAGUGCACUCUGGGCAGCCACUGACUAAUUAAAUCAUCCCACAAAGGUAUCCUGCAUGACACACAAUGCUGACCCUAAAUGCGAACUCCUGGGUAGGCAUUCAAGAGAGGGACCAGGUCUGACAUUUCUCAGCAUCAGGACUCGGCACCUAUUCUAAAGCUUUUUUUCCCAAAGGUGUGCUGUACUAAUUCAGAGGCUUUGCUCAUAUGUUUCUAAGCAAACAUGGAAGGAACCUGGUCAGCUUGCAAAUGGACAAGGCCCUCCCCAGUCCUGAUGUGGUGAUGCAGCCUGGCUACACCCUCCAGGCUCAUCAGGAAUGACAGCUUUGCCCUGUGGGAGUUCUGCGGGUGCUUAAGGACCAGGACACAAAGCUGCAAGUGCCCAGCGACAGUCAUCUUCGCCUAUGCAUGUGGCGUGAUGAGGAAUCAGAGGACGUUUUAUAAGACGGGAAGAAGGCAAUUUGGCUUCAUGUGACACCUUUCAUGCUCAAAGAAUCCCAACAGCGAAAUACUCAUGAAGAAUAAAAUGCUUACACUUUGUAAGUGAGAGAGUGGAGUUGCGGCAAUGAGGCUGGAAAUGGAAAAGAGCUCAAACCAAGCACGAGUUGGAACCAAACUUUAGCUAGGUCUCCAGGCAAUUGAGAUCCCAGCAUGCGGCGGCAAUUGAGACGAGGAGGAUCUUUUCAGAUGUCUUAAGUGGCCGAAGUGAAGCCCCUCCAGAGCUGCUGUGGUUGACGAUCACCCUGCCGCCAGCUGCUUCCUUCAGGUGAGAGGUUACUGGAAAAGUCAACAACAGCAGUGGAGGAGGAAGGUAGGUGUGUGGAGGUGGAGAGGGGAGUCUGCGGCUUCAAAGUGUGCAGCGUGGUGGGCCUCCUGGAGAAGGUGAUGUGGGCCAAGACAAGGAGUUUAUCUUCUAUUUCAAAAUGAGGAAGACAGGGCACAUCUGACGAUAAGACUCUCGGAUCUCCUGCUGAUGGGUUUUAGUGAUACUUGGAAAGACGCUUACUGCUAUGCUCAAGUCUCCAGGAAAAUGAUUCCCAAUUCUGAGAGGGAAAAUGCGUAUGGCCAGGAAAUAACAAACUGAUGCUAUGAUCCCAUUGCCUUUCUGUAUCUAAAUAUUUACAAAACAAGGCUCAAGAGAUCACUUUCUCUGAGCCAUGUGAAGACACAGCAAGAAGGUGGCAAGCCAGGAUGCACUCACCAGGAACCAAAUGUGUUGGCACCUUGAUGUUAGAUUUCCA
rnacentral:lncRNA from 1 species